rnacentral:rRNA from 1 species
AACGAACGCUGGCGGCAUGCCUAACACAUGCAAGUCGAACGAGACCUUCGGGUCUAGUGGCGCACGGGUGCGUAACGCGUGGGAAUCUGCCCUUAGGUUCGGAAUAACUCAGGGAAACUUGAGCUAAUACCGGAUAAUGACUUCGGUCCAAAGAUUUAUCGCCUAGGGAUGAGCCCGCGUAGGAUUAGCUUGUUGGUGAGGUAAAAGCUCACCAAGGCGACGAUCCUUAGCUGGCUGAGAGGAUGAUCAGCCACAUUGGGACUGAGACACGGCCCAGACUCCUACGGGAGGC